rnacentral:misc_RNA from 1 species
AAAGAAUUUCUCGCAUCAUCCAAACUGAAGCAUGAUCAUGUUUCAUCCAUUGGCGGAUCAGAUAUGAUUAUAGAUGCUUGUAGAGAAUCUGAAAAGCUGAUGGUGAUGAUAAUGGAUAAACCUGUUGAUUAUCCAUUAUCAUCACCAUCAGCUUUUCCAUGUGGUUCUCCAGAUUCCUUUGAACCUUUCCUGAACAGCAGCCCAGAUAGGAUAAUGAAUUCUAGUGAGGUAGAACACUCUGUUCCCCUCACUGAUCCUUUAUUGCCACCACCUACUCCCAGUGGUUCUCCAGAUUCUUUUUCAUGUUUUCUAGACAGCAGCCCAAAGUUUGGUUAUAAGUCCCCUACACUCUCACCUUCAACCUCUGAGUACUCAUCUAGUUCAUUUGCCUUUUCACCCUCGUCCUCUAAUUGGUCUGACUUGUCAUACUUGUCGUCCCGGCAGCCUUCACCUUCUGGCUUGGAAGCCACAGAUCCAUUUUAUGCCAAGAAUGCUCCCCCAGCAGAUAAUUUUUGUUUACCUUACAAAGAAACUCCAUCCUCCACUGGAAAGGUGUUUUCUGAUAAUCAACCUUUGAGAUCAGAAAAUACUUCUUUGCCAUUUAAAGGGAUUCCCCCUUCUAUUGCAGUGCGGAGAGGGAGUAACCCUCCUUCCCAUAUGUUGUUACCCUCAGUUGAUGAGCCGUCUCAAGUCACCAGAAACCUGGUAAGAUCCUGGUCUUUUUCUCUUCAGGACUUGAAUGAUGAUGACAUGAAAGAUAUUCACAGUGAGCUAUUUGAGCGUGAAAGUAGUAGGGAAGAACAAAUGUUGGAUGUUGAUACCAGCAGUGCAGGCGAUUGUGCACAAAGCGAGUUUGAAGAGGGAAAAGAAUACAGUAACUCCCAUCUUCCCUUGUGCAAUGAGACUGGGAAAGCUGCUCAAAUUACCACUCCAAUUUGUUAUCAGUGGCCUAACAUGAACAAAGUUGACAUGCAUUGCCUUAACAUCCCUGAUUCUGGGUCAGUGUAUAUUUUGUUGGCUCCAGACUUAACAUUGCAUUCAAAUAAUUCUGGAAUAUUAUAUGUCUGGUUGGGGCAGAAAGUUUUAUGUGAAAAAGGGCAAAGUGAAUUUAUAAGCGGCACUAGCAGUCUCAAAGAUAUUCAUACAGAUUGGAAGGUGAUCGGUCACAACUUCCUUGAUCAAAUGAAUCUCCCUGCAAAUACCCCUAUGCAGAUUGUUAGAGUAGGUGAGGAGCCAGAGCAAUUCCUCAACCUU